rnacentral:rRNA from 1 species
CCUACGGGAGGCAGCAGUGAGGAAUAUUGGUCAAUGGACGAGAGUCUGAACCAGCCAAGUAGCGUGAAGGAUGACUGCCCUAUGGGUUGUAAACUUCUUUUAUAUGGGAAUAAAAUGUUCCACGUGUGGGAUUUUGUAUGUACCAUAUGAAUAAGGAUCGGCUAACUCCGUGCCAGCAGCCGCGGUAAUACGGAGGAUCCGAGCGUUAUCCGGAUUUAUUGGGUUUAAAGGGAGCGUAGGUGGAUUGUUAAGUCAGUUGUGAAAGUUUGCGGCUCAACCGUAAAAUUGCAGUUGAAACUGGCAGUCGUGAGUACAGUAGAGGUGAGCGGAAUUCGUGGUGUAGCGGUGAAAUGCUUAGAUAUCACGAAGAACUCCGAUUGCGAAGGCAGCUCACUGGACUGCAACUGACACUGAGGCUCGAAAGUGUGGGUAUCAAACAGGAUUAGAUACACCGGUAGUC